CUGUAGCAGAACUGAAUGACAGACAUUUAUGAUGUGCAACUCACAGAACACAAUUUGUGUACUUGUACUCAAGAAUUUGAAGAGGUGUAACUUUAUUUUGUACUUGUGACAGAUUUAAAAAAAUCUACAAUUACAAAACACCAAAGUUACAAUGCACAAGUAGUUUUCCAACAAUAGUUCUGGACCAUUUGGAGCAAAACUGAGAAUGUAAGAGGUUUUUGAUGUGCAACUCACAGAACACAAUUUGUGUACUUGUACUUAAAAUUUGUACAGGUGUAAAAAAAAUUGUACUUGUAAUUUUUUUUUUAUUUCUACAAAUACAAAACUUAGGAUUUAACUCCCUCUACAACUUCAAAUUCUCGCUUACAAUGCACAAAUCCUAUAGGGUUAUUCGCGAAGCCUUUGCGUGACGUCACUCGUAACGUCAGCGCGCUGACUGGUUGGCAAAACAUGGCGGAUAGUGUAAACAGGACGAACUCGAGCGAAUAUCUUGUGCCUUUCCCCGCGUAUGCAAACUCCCUACCGUCAGAUGUGAAAGAGAGAUAUAAGAUAAAGUUAUUGUACAACGCUGGUACGUGUUCCUUGCCCGAUCCAUAUAGUUUAACGGAACAAUGGAGCAAUGGCGACAUUUACCUAUAUCUGAUCGAUACGCCAUCCAUUUUCACCAAAGAAUCGAUGAAAGCCUACAAAUGAUUGGAAGCAUACAAGUAAGCAAUAAUAAAGCUUUAUUUUUGUUUAUAAUUUUAAUUAUGUUGAGAAAAAUAUUAUAUUAACGUUUUACUUACGUGUAAAGGUGACGUUCUCUGUAAACAAAGAUCACGUGAUACAUAGUGAUAGUUUCUCGCUCUCUCUCUUUGUAUUGUAUGUCAUAUGUAAAGAAACUUAGAGGUUUUAUAAAUUACUGUGUAAAGAGCAUUAUUAAAUAAUGAUUGAUUCUUAAAAUUAUUCACUAUUAAUUUAUUUGUAGGUAUGUUUUAAGUGGACAUGUACAGGAGGUAUUGUCACACCAAAUUGAUCCAAGCUGCCCCUACAUUGCUCUGAAGACCAAGGUUACUCCAUCCCAGAGAAUACGAGACAAUCCACAUGAACCAUGGGUUUAUUUAGAGAAAUCUAGUGGAACUGUCUACUGUGCACAUUGUACAUGCAUGGCUGGGUAACCCUAGCCACCAUCACUGGAAUAUUCAGUGAAAUUAAAGGAAGACGUACUAAGGAAAUAGAUUCUAUUCAUGCACAUGGUACAGCCCAACUUCCUCCACAAAGUGUUCUGGAUAGCCUUUAUUCCAUUGCACCCAAUGCAGCUUUCUUCACCUCUGUUAACGUGUUGUCAACACAAUUCGUGUUGACAACCAAGAACUGGAUAGUAAUGAAAAAAAAAACCUGGUGCAUUUGUAAUGAACCUGAAUAUGGACGAAUGAUUAAAUGUGAUGGUGAGUUAUGUCCGUAAGAAUGGUUCCACUAUAAAUGUGUGAACAUUCGUCGAAAACCCUGUGGUCAGUGGUUUUGUGCAAGUUGUGAACCAUGAUGAGUCACUGAGGACAGCAUGAAUCUAUUCCAAACUGGAUCUUUAGUUCAAAUACCAGAAUUGAAGGACAUUUUGAACUACUUGCAUUUUUAUUCACUUUGUAAAUAAAUUGAAUACAUAAAUAUUUAAAA